rnacentral:misc_RNA from 1 species
GUUAUAUUACAGCAAUAACAACACAUUCUGAAAAAACCCACGGAUACACAGACAUACUUCAAUUCUCCGAAGAAGGACAACGUCCGAACUCAUAUCAAGAAAUCACAGAUCUCGAACACCCGUUGCCGUCUUCUCAUACCUUUCUGCGUGGGACUUGUAGUUUAAAUGAAGAUGUUCGUGAUGGAGAGUUGCCGAACAACUUGGAUAACACGGCAAAACGCAUUCAAAAGAAAAGAGAAAAAUACCUCGUAAACGUCAACAUUCCCUCAGAUUCUAACUCUGUCUCGCCCGAGGAUGACGCCAGAAGAAGUUGCGUUCUUUCGCCAGAGUUGAUGGACGAUGGUUUGUUCGAAUCACUAAAUGACUUUGCGAAGUAUUUCACAACUUUGAGCAUGAAAAGAAGGAACCAAAAUUUAGCCGAUGUAGAGAAAGAACGCGGGAAUGCAAAACGAGCAAUAAUUGAUGGUGAUCGAAGCGAAAGUAAAGAAGAUGAAAUCACAUAUAAUGAAAUAAAAGGACGAACAGACAACAUAUCGUCAGAAGAUACACAACUUCAAGAAAAAGGGUUUAAAGAAAACAGUGAGAAAAGCGAUGAAAACAAAGUUUCCAUUGCAUCCAUCCAUAAGAAAACAAUAGAAACGAGUGAAUGUCAGAUAUAUAGUACGCCUAUAAAACAAAAAAGUUCAAGUUUAGAGAAGUGCCAAGAAAUACCAUCAAAAAUUGACCAAACACAGGGUCUGAAUAAGGCAAAAAUAUCAGACAGUGAAGGUACACUCCUGCAUGAGAAGCAAAAGUCUUUGAUAGCUACAUCGCCAAACACAACUGAUAUUUUUAAGGGUAAAGGAGGUCAGACUUCAGACCCAAAUAAAGAAAUAGAGAAUGCAAAAACUGACAAUGAACGCAAUGAACAAGCAGGGACAACGAAGGCGGAAGGCAAUAGUGUUCACAACGUGGAACUUCCCCGGGAGACUGCAAACUUUGCACCGUUGAAAAAGUCGGUCGAAAUGUUGGAAUCGACUGGCUCCUCCGAAAGUAACCAAUCGCUGAACAGGUCCAACCCCAAAUACGACGUGACUUAAGACAUCACCAACGUUGCUGGAUUACCUGACAGAGAGCAGGAAUUCUGACGUAUAGAAGAAUGGUAAAGAAAAAAGAUAUUGUGAAAGUGUUUGUUAUUUAUCUCUCACUCUGCCACGUUUGUCCUGCCCAUCCGUGCGGCGAAAACCCUCUCCGGCGUCUCAUCAGCAUAUCGUUUAAAACAGGUCAUCCAUUGCGUUCUGUUCUUCUUCUUCUGAGGGAAAUGGACGGUAAUGUAUACAAACAACUCCAAGUCGAUUUCCAGCGAUAUGCAGGCUGCAUUGGAAUCGUGGAUACCGGUUAUUUCAAACGCUCUCCUGCACCAGACUCUUUCUCCAAGCGAACACCUCAAAGCAGCACGGGACACAACGAUGGAUUAGAGUUAUUUAAAACAUGGACCAACAGAAAUAGAACAUCGGAUCGUUUAUCACUGCUACUUGAGGCCCAGAACUCACUGAGCAAUGAACUUUUCCCGUUUUCUCGUCGACUUCAGCGGAGGAUUCGAUGACCAGUAAUCGAGUUAGCACUGUGUUGAAUAGCUGCAAUAACUAUCCGAUAUUCCAGUGAUUUCUCGUUUUUCUCUAACGUUUCAUUUCUAAUAAAGGUGCUUUUC